UCAGUCUCUCCUCUCCAUCUUUCCCUCUCUCCACUCUCCAUCUCUGCAUCAUAUUGCUCCAUAGUGAAGGCUCCUUCCAAGGUAACUCUUUGCACAAAACUCUCGUCAUAUCUAUACUCUCGUCACAAAUUUAUGCAUAUAUUUGUGUAUAUUGGCUCACCAUUUAUGCAAUUUAUGAAUGUGCUGGUGCUGUGUGUUUAUUAUCUGCUUAUACAUGAAAAUUGAUAUCAAGGUGUUUGAUUAAAUGUCUAAGUGAGAAUAUUCUAGCUGAAUUGAACAAGUUAUGUUCUUCAAUAUUUUGAUUUGAGUUAAAUCAUUUCAUAAUGUGUUUUCAUUGUUUAAAAUAUCACUUUGUUAUGUGAGUCAUUGUCGAAUUGUGUUACUACAUUGUAUCUUUGUCUAGCUUGAAGUAUGCCAGCUUUGUCCAGGUAUCAAAACUGCUAGCUGAUUGUUAUGCAUUAUGUAUGAAUCUUUCUGUUUUUGAACUAUUGGUUUGAAACCUUGCACCAUAAUUGUGUUAAUGGUAACAAAAAUUAGACUGGUCAUAAAUAGCUAUAAUACUAAAAUGAUAUUAAAAUUUUGGUACUCAGCAAAAUAAUAAUAUUUUUCUGCAUCAAAAUUAGUGAGUGUUACAUGUGACUAUUACAAUUGAUGAUUUGCUUUGGGAAGAAGGAAAAACAGAGGGGAUUCUCAAGUGGUUGAGGUGAACAAAAAAGGUCGGGUGUGCAUCAUUGAAUUUACUUAACAUUUGUUGCAUAUUAUUCUAGAGGAACAUUAUUGAUUGGUGUAGCUUCAGAAUAAAGCUUUUUAGGACCCCAUAUCAUUAUCAGAUCAAUGCGUGCUUCUGGGUUCUAGUCUCAAUGUCAUGAUCACUAAGUUAGAAUAUACAGCUCUUUAAGAUAAUUUUGCAAGUUUCUGUUAUCUGUACAAAAUAGAGGAGAACCCAUGGUAAUUAGAAAUUUAACAUGCUUCCGGCCUUCCACCGCUUCUGAGUAAGAUAUGCCAACGUAGUUGAUUUGUUUUUAGAAUGAAACAGGUAGACCUAAUAAUACACUAAUGUUUGCCAGAUUUAUAAAUAUAUAUUACAUCUGUUGACAGUUAAUUCCUAAUACACUAAUGUUGUCUUGGUUGAGGUUAAUGGAUGGAAUGAAAUAGAGAGAGUGAAAAUCAAAAAGAAAUAAUAGGAAGAUGUAAUUGUUUCUGCAUCAUAUCUAUACUCUCGUCACAAAUAUAAAUGGAGAAGGUGAUGUGUUUUCUGGAAUAAAAUACAAAUAUAAAGAAUGCAGUAUAUAAACUCAAGCAUUAUCAGCAUGUUUUAGCAAUUUGUUUCUCACGUAAAAUGGCACAACAUACUACAUACUAGCAAUGCCAACUGCUAAUAACAGAAUGAUUCGUUAUACGAAUCCAUCUGCCUUCGAUUCUUUCUGUGUUACCUAAUUUGACAUUUUUGUGGCCACAUAGCUCUACUAGAGUUCUCAGACUCAUAUAGAUAAGCAUGGUAACUUAACUUAUGCUUUUAUACUCUAGCAGGCCAGACUCUAACAUUGUCCAAAACAGGGCCACAAAUAUGACCCUAGUCGUUAGUUUUAGUGUGAUAAUAUGCACUGAAAAAUGCACUGAAAGUGUGUUUCUGCUUCAUAUAUAUUAAUGUAUUUAUGUUUGAAAUUUUGUAGUAAUGGCUCAUUUGGGAGUGACACGGAGAAGCAGAGUAUUGUUAAAGCUUCAAGUUAACAUAAUGAUAAUCAAGUUUUUCGUUAUUUUUGUUCCUUGGUAUUUGAUGGGUAUAACACUAUUGAGUGAAUCAUAUUUUCGGAAGAGGACGAGGGAGAGAAUGAUUCAUAGACUAGCUAAUUUAAAUAGCUUGAUAAAAGAUAGUGAUAUUGGAUGUAUAAAUGAACUUCGUAUGAAUAGGUCCACAGUUAAUGUGCUUUGUGAGAUGCUUAGAGAUAUCGGAGAUUUAAGAGAAACUAAAAAGAUGAGCUUAAACGAGACGGUUGCAAUAUUUUUGUACAUUUUAGCUCAUCACCAGAAGAAUAGAACAAGUGGAAAUUAUUUUGUGAGGAGUGGGGAAACCAUAAGUAGACAAUUUAAUCGUUGCCUUCUAGCUGUCUUGAAGUUACAUGUCCAUUUGCUCAAGAAACCUUCACCAAUAACCGAAGGAUGUGCAGAUAGAAGGUGGAAAUAUUUUAAGGUAAUAUAAUAUCACUUUGGUUCAUUGAUUAUUUUAAUUUUGAUGUAAAAUUAUCUUGGAGCCUUAGAUGGUACUUAUGUGAAUUUAUAUAAUAUUUUGAAUUUUGAUGUAGAAUUGUCUUGGAGCCUUAGAUGGUACUUAUGUGAGUGUUCAAGUGCCUUCUAGAGAUAGGGAAAGGUAUCGUACUAGAAAGGGUCAUCUUGCAAUGAAUGUUUUGGGUGUCUGUUCACCGGAUAUGCAGUUUAUAUAUGUCUUACCUGGAUGGGAGGGUUCAGCGCAUGAUGGUCGUGUCCUUCGUGAUGCUAUAUCUAGACCUCAUGGUUUGAGAAUCUCCCAAGGUAUGCUAACUAAAUUUGUAGCCGAAAAAUGUUUUAAAUUGCAUACGCAAUGGAAAUAACUUUUAAUGUUUUUUGCUCUAAAAAUGUAGGUUGUUACUAUUUGGUUGAUGCCGGUUAUGCUAAUAGUGAUGGAUUUCUCGCUCCAUACAGACUCUUUGCUUCAUCAGUUGAAGGUUCUGGUUGCUUUCAACUGCUAUUGACUUUAUCAGUUGAAUGCCUGGCUCAUCAGUUGAAUGAAUUACAAACUCCAUCAGUUGAAUGCUGUUCCAGUCUCAUCAGUUGAAUUCCUCAGCAUCAUCCGUUGAACACUUUGUCUUCAGUUGAAUGCUUGAUUUUCAUCAGUUGAAACAUCAUCCAGUCUUCAUCAGUUGAACAGUUACAUCUCAUCAGUUGAAUAUCCUUCACUUAGAUAAAAUUACAUGGCAUUGGAUAUUUACAAUUAGCCAUCCUAUUCUACCCAUCCGUUGAUAAUUCCCAAAGACAAGAAAUGUAACAAUUACAACUGAAAUUUGAUAAAGAUUCUAAGUAAGACAUGUUACAAAAUGUUUAUGUUAUCAUCAAAAAUUAUUGAUUCCUAACAAGAAGUCAGGUAAUUAUAACUCAGGGCCUCCCCUGCUCACUCUUGCCUCACCUCCAAGAACUCCAUUUCUCUCUUUCUUCACAUUAUUUCAAUCCCCAGCCCACAUAUUUUUUGGUUCACUGGUGCAGUAAAUUUGUGAUCAAUUCUUGUUAGGUGUUUUAAUAAGCAUGUUUAUCUGAUGGCCUACUUCUCUUUUUUGCAGCAUUUCAUCCAAAUUUAACGACGACAAAAACUUCUGACUGGAUUUAGGAAUAUCAUCGACACUUGAUCGGAUUAGUAGCAGCAGUUAAAGAGAAGUGUGAUUACAGACUGGGGCAGUAGCAUUAUUUACUUGUUGGGAAUGCUACUGGAGACUAGUGUAGUCAAUAAGACCAUUAAUAUACUACUGAAAUUAUUACAAUCUCAUUUACUUGCAUAAUACUAGUGGUAAAAUCCCUUAGUCCAAGAGCCAGAAAUCCUUCUGCAAUCUGGUGCUGAUUAGGUAACCACCAAUGCUUUGACUCUGCUUCCUCACUCCUAUUGUCAAGCACUCUACAUUGUUUAUGCAUUCUUCCACAAAUUUCUCUCUGCUGCUCCUCCCACACAAUUUGCUGUCAUUUUCACAUUAUAUCAACA
rnacentral:lncRNA from 1 species